UUUAUCUUUGGACCUUUUUCUUUGUAUAAAUACCUACCAGGAGUGCUAAGGGAGAGACGAAAAAUAACUGGAGAGAGAAAGUAGAAGAACAAGUAGAGAGAUAGAGGAGGGGGAGGAGAAAGGUAGAAUAGAGAAAGCGCACUUAAACCGACCUCUCGUUCUCUUCGCUUUCUCCAAAAAUUCUCCGAUCGGUGCAUAGAUAUAUUAAAGCAAAGGAAGGAAAUAAAUCAUGUCUUCGCUUAGCAGAGAGCUUGUUUUUCUCAUACUUCAGUUUCUUGAUGAAGAGAAGUUUAAAGAGACUGUUCACAAAUUGGAGCAAGAGUCAGGGUUUUUCUUCAACAUGAGGUAUUUUGAAGAUACGGUGACAAAUGGGGAGUGGGAUGAGGUAGAGAAGUACCUGUCAGGGUUCACAAAGGUUGAUGAUAACAGAUACUCCAUGAAGAUUUUCUUUGAGAUUCGAAAACAGAAGUACCUUGAAGCUCUAGACAAGCGUGAUCGGGCAAAAGGGGUGGAUAUUUUAGUGAAGGACCUGAAAGUGUUUGCUGCAUUCAAUGAGGAACUUUUUAAAGAAAUUACACAACUACUGACAUUGGAAAACUUUAGAGAUAAUGAACAGCUAUCUAAAUAUGGAGAUACUAAGUCUGCUAGAGGUAUAAUGCUUGCUGAACUAAAGAAAUUGAUAGAGGCUAACCCUCUUUUCCGUGAUAAGCUUCAGUUUCCUACAUUGAAGAAUUCAAGAUUGCGGACGCUUAUUAAUCAGAGUUUAAAUUGGCAACAUCAGCUUUGUAAGAAUCCAAGGCCUAACCCUGAUAUAAAGACCCUAUUUGUGGAUCACAGUUGUGGACAACCGAAUGGCGCACGUGCCCCAUCCCCUGUCACUAAUCCUUUAAUGGGUGCUGUGCCUAAGGCAGUGGCUUUUCCACCGCUGAGCAUUCAUGGUCCAUUUCAACCCGCCCCUGCCACUCUUCCAACAUCUCUUACUGGAUGGAUGGCAAAUCCAGCUCCUGUCCCUCACCCAUCUGCUUCUGCUGGUCCAAUUGGUUUAUCUGCUCCUAACAAUGCAGCAAUCCUAAAACGUCCUAGGACUCCUACGAAUAAUCCAGCAAUGGAUUAUCAAACAGCAGAUUCUGAACAUGUAUUGAAGAGAACAAGGCCAUUUGGAAUAUCAGAUGAGGUCAAUAAUCUACCCAUUAAUAUUCUGCCCAUUGCAUACUCCAGUCAGACACAUGGACAAAGCUCCUAUUCUUCUGAUGACUUGCCCAAAACUCUUGUUAUGUCUUUGAAUCAAGGUUCAGCAGUCAAGAGCAUGGAUUUCCAUCCAGUGCAACAAAUUCUACUUCUUGUUGGAACAAACAUGGGUGAUGUCAUGGUAUGGGAGUUGGGUAGCAGGGAGAGGAUUGCUAUCAGGAAUUUUACAGUUUGGGAACUUGGCGCACGCUCAAUGGGUUUGCAGGCAUCUCUCACCAAUGACUGUACGGCAUCAGUUAACCGUGUCGUGUGGAGUCCUGAUGGAUCUCUUUUUGGUGUUGCAUACUCGAAGCACAUAGUGCACCUAUAUUCCUACCAUGGCAGUGAUGAUGUAAAAAACUACCGUGAGAUUGAAGCUCAUGUUGGGAGUGUUAACGAUCUUGCCUUUUCUUAUCCGAAUGACCGACUAAGUGUUGUCACUUGUGGCGAGGACAGGGUUAUUAAGGUUUGGGAACCAGUUACAGGAAAUCUAAAAUUUACUUUUGAGGGUCAUGAAGCGGCUGUAUACUCUGUAUGUCCACAUCACAAGGAAAAUAUUCAGUUUAUCUUUUCAACAGCUACUGAUGGAAAGAUAAAGGCAUGGUUGUAUGAUAACCUGGGUUCUAGAGUUGACUAUGAUGCACCAGGCCGCUCACCCACCACAAUGGCAUACAGUGCUGAUGGAACAAGGUUAUUUUCAUGUGGGACAAACAAAGAAGGAGAAUCACACUUGGUGGAGUGGAAUGAAAGUGAAGGAACUGUUAAGCUUGCUUAUGUUGGUCUUGGGAAACGAUCUGUGGGGGUUGUGCAAUUUGAUACUACUAAGAAUCGCUUCUUGGCUGCUGGUGAUGAGUUCAUGGUAAAAUUCUGGGACAUGGACAAUGUCAACCUCUUGACAAGCAUUGAUGCAGAGGGUGGAUUGACGGCUGCUCCUUGUAUCAGAUUCAACAAGGAUGGAGCAUUGUUAGCUGUCUCAACAAAUGACAAUAGCGUUAAAAUUCUAGCAAACUCGGAUGGUAUUAGGCUUCUACGGACGGUAGAGAAUCGUACAUUUGAUGCUUCUAGAGUUGCUUCAGCAGCUGUUGUGAAGGCACCGGGAAUAGGCAAUUAUGCUUCCGUCAAUGCUACUGUUGGACCCAGCAUUGGGGAUAGAGCUGCUUCUGUGGCACCUUUUGUUGGAAUAACGAGUGUUGAUAUCUCUGCUCUGUCUAAUGUCUUGAAUCUUUUGAUUAUCUUCAUAUUAUUAACAUAAUUGUUGCAUUUUUCUUUUGAGUUUUUGCAGAACAGUGAUAAUCGAACUUUGGUUGAUGUGAAACCUAGAAUUGCAGAUGAACCAGUUGAAGCUGCUAGGACCUGGAAAUUGACAGAAAUAAGUGAGCCAUCACAGUGCCGCUCUCUGAGGCUCCCUGAUAAUUCGACUGCCAUGAGGGUUUCUAGAUUGAUUUAUACAAAUUCAGGACUUGCUAUAUUGGCAUUAGCAUCAAAUGCAGUGCACAAACUCUGGAAAUGGCAGAGAAAUGAUCGAAAUCUAAAUGGGAAGGCCACUGCUAGUGUAGUACCACAAUUAUGGCAACCCUCUAGUGGAAUAUUGAUGACUAAUGAUAUGAGUGAAACAAACCCUGAAGAUGCUGUUCCAUGUUUUGCACUUUCGAAGAAUGACUCUUAUGUUAUGUCAGCUUCAGGGGGAAAAAUCUCUCUUUUCAACAUGAUGACAUUUAAGACAAUGACUACAUUCAUGCCCCCACCACCAGCCGCCACAUUCCUGGCGUUUCAUCCUCAGGACAAUAAUAUCAUUGCCAUUGGAAUGGAGGACUCUUCUAUCCAAAUUUAUAAUGUCCGCGUUGAUGAGGUUAAAACAAAAUUAAAAGGCCAUCAGAAAAGAAUUACGGGCCUCGCUUUCUCUCACUCACUAAAUGUGCUCGUCUCUUCUGGAGCUGACGCCCAGUUGUGUGUUUGGAGCACGGAUGGUUGGGAGAAGCAGACUAGUAAAUUCUUGGAAGUUCCACCUGGACGAGGUUCAGCUUCUCUUGCAGAUACGCGGGUUCAAUUUCACCUUGACCAGACGCAUCUGCUGGCAGUUCACGAAUCGCAAAUAGCUAUAUAUGAAGCACCAAAAUUCGAACGCCUUAAACAGUGGUUUCUUCCUCGAGAAGCAACUGGUCCAAUUACACAUGCUGCAUAUUCUUGUGAUAGCCAGUCCAUAUAUGUUAGCUUCGAAGAUGGUAGCGUUGGUGUUCUUACUGCUUCAACACUAAGUUUGAGAUGCAGAAUAAAUGCUACUGCUUAUUUACCCCCCAAUCCUAGCAUGAGGGUAUAUCCUCUUGUCAUUGCUGCACAUCCGUCUGAGCCCAAUCAGUUUGCAUUAGGACUAACGGAUGGGGGAGUCCAUGUGCUUGAACCAUUGGAGAUGGAAGGAAAAUGGGGCACCUCCCCUCCAGUUGAAAAUGGUGCUGGUCCUAGCACCACUUCUGUUGCAGCUGGUUCAGAACAAGCUCAAAGGUGACUACUGCAUGCAUGGCUUUCACCAAGUACCUUGAGUGUAUGUAUCCGUUCCUUCUGAUCCCGCUCUCUGGGCCCACCACAAUGUGAUUGUCGAGGGGAAGCUGCGGAAAUUAGGUGGUGGUAGUUUUAGUAUACUUCAGCUGUGGCUUCAGCUCAACCUGACAGAUGGUUAAUCAUAACUAUAGCGUCACAAAGCAUGAUGAUAUCUUUGGUUCCCCAUAUUUGAGAAUGAUCAGAGAAAGAAAGAAUGUUUAUGGUGUAAAUUCAGAAGUUGAAUGCGUCAAAAACUAAAAUGAAGGUUGUGAGGUUAAUGAGUUGGUUGGGGUAGGAGAAGUGGCUGUGUCAUAUGUUCAUUUUUUAUGUUAGUUUCAAGGAUAGUGAUCUAAUCAAUUAGGUGUAGUGAAUGUUUGUUACCCUUUUCUGUCGGUCUCUCAAUUAUCUUCCCAAUUUAUCAUAUACAAAUAUAAUGUCAAUACCAUCUCUUUUUCCAAUUGGUGACUUUAAUAACUGGGCCUUUUCUUUUGCCUCAGACGCUUGACUGAGACAUUGUUGGGGUUGGAGCUUGGAGGUAUAUGGGGGUUAAGGAGAAUGGUGUCAAAUUGUUUAUAGUCUUUCUAUAACUCGAAUCAUGCAAAAAAGUGACUUGAUUUGAAUAACUUUCUAUGCUUGCAUAGUUUGUCAAGAGUGAAUAGAGUCACUGGUGAAUUUUUUCAAUAGAAAUCUGCAUUAAUUCUC
rnacentral:misc_RNA from 1 species